rnacentral:rRNA from 1 species
CAAUAGCGUAUAUUAAAGUUGUUGCAGUUAAAAAGCUCGUAGUUGGAUCUGUGGUGCGCGGUGGGCUCCGGGCACUUGUUGUCUGAGUAGCUCGCCGCUGCCAUCCUUGGGUGGAACCUGUGUGGCAUUAGGUUGUCGUGCAGGGGAUGCCCAUCGUUUACUGUGAAAAAAUUAGAGUGUUCAAAGCAGGCUUAUGCCGUUGAAUAUAUUAGCAUGGAAUAAUGAGAUAGGACUUUUUCGCUAUUUUGUUGGUUUGCGCGAAGAGGUAAUGAUUAAUAGGGACAGUUGGGGGUAUUCGUAUUCCAUUGUCAGAGGUGAAAUUCUUGGAUUUUUGGAAGACGAACUACUGCGAAAGCAUUUACCAAGGAUGUUUUCAUUAA